GACGUAGGGGGCGAGCGUUGUCCGAAGUGACUGGGCGUAAAGCGCGCGUAGGCGGUCUGUUAAGGGGGGGGUGAAAGGCUCCGGCUCAACCGGGGGAGGGCCUUCCCGACUGGCAGACUUGAGGGCAGGAGAGGGGAGUGGAAUUCCUGGUGGAGCGGUGAAAUGCGUAGAGAUCAGGAAGAACACCCGUGGCGAAGGCGGCUCUCUGGUCUGUGCCUGACGCUGAGGUGCGAAGGCGUGGGGAGCGAACGGG
rnacentral:rRNA from 1 species